GACAGAGGAUGCAAGCGUUAUCCGGAAUGAUUGGGCGUAAAGCGUCUGUAGGUGGCUUAAAAAGUCUCCUGUCAAAGAUCAGGGCUUAACCCUGGGCCGGCAGGAGAAACUCUUAGGCUAGAGUUUGGUAGGGGCAGAGGGAAUUCCCGGUGGAGCGGUGAAAUGCGUAGAGAUCGGAAAGAACACCAACGGCGAAAGCACUCUGCUGGGCCGACACUGACACUGAGAGACGAAAGCUAGGGGAGCGAAUGGG
rnacentral:rRNA from 1 species